AAUCAACGCUGGCGGCGUGCCUCAGACAUGCAAGUCGAACGCGAAAUUUCCCUUCGGGGAGAAAGUAGAGUGGCGCACGGGUGAGUAACACGUAGGUAAUUUGCCUUUGGGUGGGGAAUAACUCAGGGAAACUUGAGCUAAUACCGCAUAAUGCAGCGGCUCGACAUCGAGACAGUUGUUAAAGCGGGGGAUUGGAGCAAUCCGACCUCGCGCCUAAAGAGAAGCCUGCGGCAGAUUAGCUAGUUGGUAAGGUAAUGGCUUACCAAGGCGACGAUCUGUAACCGGCCUGAGAGGGCGGUCGGUCACACUGACACUGACAUACGGGCCAGACUCCUACGGGAGGCAGCAGUCGGGAAUUUUGGGCAAUGGGCGCAAGCCUGACCCAGCAACGCCGCGUGAAGGAUGAAAUUUUUCGGAAUGUAAACUUCGCAAGAACAGGAAGAAUAAGUGUGGGACAA
rnacentral:rRNA from 1 species